rnacentral:lncRNA from 1 species
CUGAAUGUCUUGAUGUCGCUUUUCAUAUUGUUGCUUUAAUAUUUGUAUUCUCAUUUUAUUUUUAGAGAGCGCAGCAAAUAUAAGGAAUCAAAUCCUAUUUAACCAAAAUGAAGGGCCUGAAACUGUUCAGUGCGAGAUUACUGGGAUGGACACUUUGCUUCAUGCCCCAAUCCAGACACCGGUGCAGCAGACUGAGGUAUGUGAAUACUUUCACUCUUUCAUGCUGAGAAUAUUUGGGUCCAAAAUCUAUUGCAUUC